GCUUUUUAAGGAAAAAGCCUUACCUCUCGUCGUAAAAGGAAAGACUUAAAUUACCAUCGACGAUUCCAAGGAGUCAAGCUGGCUGCUUGACACACUAAAAGGUUAGUGUGUUCAAACCACACGCAUACACACGCACACACUGCAAGCUAAUCUUCCCCCCUUCAGGGGCGGGGCCCCUGAAGUGGGGAGGAGCGCCCCUGGCGUACGGCAGACAGGCCGCCCUACGCCAGGGGAGGGCUUGCUUUUCUACGCACUAACUAUACAACUUACUCGACUGAAACAUUCUUGGUUCUACAACCUAAGAGCACCAAUACACUUACGUUCUUAGACAUAGUGAGAGGAAAAUUUAUCCAUUAUUCUGAAUAGUAGCAAGUCACAACUGGAUACCUGGAACAGCUAUUAAAGAAUUUGGAACCGGAUUAUCCUAGGCUAAGCCGAGAGCUUAGCACGUUACCUCCGUUGGAAAGCAUUGAAGACUUCCUCACAAAGGCAUUUGGUGUGGACAAUAACUGAGCUUUAAUGCUGUGAAAUCUACAUACUUUUAAAAAUAGCUGGCGUUCUUUAUAGUAUGAGGGGUGCCCUUUGCUUACGAAGAUCAAAUUCUCAAGAGUAGGGCUUAUUAGAGACCGUGACAAUUUGAGAUGAAUGGUGAACGUGGGAGAAGGACUGUGACAGGAACUGUCAUAUACUUACGUAUUGUUAUACGAUCGCAAGUAACACGUGAAGAUUGUAUAUCAAGAGCCAGCAGGAAAAAUGAAAAGCAGCAGUACCUGGCGCUUUCGUGUAUUCGUUGCUGGUUUUUCCUCCUCUCUCAUCAGAGCCCACAAGCUAAAACUACAACUUAAUUUUCUACGUAUGUGUUUGAGUGAGCAUGUUAUGACAAAAUCGUUUUUAUCCAAGAAACAUAGCGGCCUAUUCUUUAAACCAUUCGAAGAAUAUGAACGUCUUAUACUACAAAAGUACAUAGAAAUAACGAAACUGGAUGUUGAACAAGCUUUCAGAAUCCUGAGGCCAAAUAGAUAUAGUUUUAAUCAAUCAAUCCCCUUGGAAUGGAAGACUCGAUUGGGCGAUUAUUGUUAUCAUAAGUUACGAAGCCAGUGCCGACGUCUGAAGAAUAAACUCGAUCGUAAAUUUAAACAGCUCAUUAAGAACAGCGGUUGGACUAAGGAUGCAAAUCCCCAGUUUGUAUGUAAUUUAUCGGAUAAAGUGUUAGAUGAUGUAACAAGAACGGCUCUCGGCUAUGGUAUCAACUUCAGUGUUUGUGACGAGAAAGUGGACUGGGUAGGAAUAGCCAAAUCAUUUUGUAAUUUAGAAAAAUUUGGAUCGUUGUCUAUUGAAGAUUUCAAC